AACGAACGCUGGCGGCAUGCCUAACACAUGCAAGUCGAACGAGACCUUCGGGUCUAGUGGCGCACGGGUGCGUAACGCGUGGGAACCUGCCCUUAGGUUCGGAAUAACUCCCCGAAAGGGGUGCUAAUACCGGAUAAUGUCUUCGGACCAAAGAUUUAUCGCCUUUGGAUGGGCCCGCGUUGGAUUAGCUAGUUGGUAGGGUAAAAGCCUAUCAAGGCGACGAUCCAUAGCUGGUCUGAGAGGAUGAUCAGCCACACUGGGACUGAGACACGGCCCAGACUCCUACGGGAGGCAGCAGUGGGGAAUAUUGGACAAUGGGCGAAAGUCUGAUCCAGCAAUGCCGCGUGAGUGAUGAAGGCCUUAGGGUUGUAAAGCUCUUUUACCCGGGAUGAUAAUGACAGUACCGGGAGAAUAAGCUCCGGCUAACUACGUG
rnacentral:rRNA from 1 species